rnacentral:sRNA from 1 species
ACUAAAGGUAGAGAGGCUAAUAUCGCCAUGUCCUGUGGCAACGCCUCUAUAAUCAAUAUCGUGUAGA